rnacentral:rRNA from 1 species
UACGCAGGGGGCUAGCGUUGUUCGGAAUUACUGGGCGUAAAGCGCGCGCAGGCGGUCUUCCAAGUCAGUGGUGAAAGCCCGGAGCUCAACUCCGGAACUGCCAUUGAAACUGUUAGACUUGAGGAUGAGAGAGGUGAGUGGAAUUCCCAGUGUAGAGGUGAAAUUCGUAGAUAUUGGGAAGAACACCGGUGGCGAAGGCGGCUCACUGGCUCAUUACUGACGCUCAGGCGCGAUAGCGUGGGGAUCAAACAGG